rnacentral:lncRNA from 1 species
UCCCGUCCGCGAAAAACUCCCAAAAAAAAAGACACUUUUUUUUUGGAGGAAAAGCUCCCAAAAUGUGAAAACCAAUUUCCUUUUUCAGCCUACAAAAUGGGCAAAACCAAGAUAUUGGAGUGCCGAUUCAGAGUUCGAGUUCAGGUCUGAUCUCAUCAGAAGCUUAGGUAAGGUAGCAUGUGAUGAUUGCACCCGUUGCUUUUCUUGAUUGCAAAUUUCUUUUUCUUCAUUGCAUUGCAUUGCAUUAAAAUGUGGUCAGUUUUUUUACUACGACCUUUUUUCUUAACAAUUUAAUGUGAAACGGAAAAAUCAAGAUGCGACCCCAAAGUUAAAGAAAAAGAAGAAGGUCAAGUAAGUAUGAUUUGACUGACCCCUUGUUCUUAAUCUUCGAUCUGGCGUCCCACCACCGUCACUUGGUAUUAAUAUUAAUGGGUUUGUUUGGAUACAUUAUUAUUAUUAUUGAUGAGUGGUUUUUUUAGUUACUACUAGUACGAACUUUUUCUACGGUUAACUGCCACCGCUGACAAUCUGAAUUGUGCAGACUUUAAAAGUCAAAUAAAUGAGGAAUGAUGACCUCCUCCGAUGCAUCUAGAAUGUGCAGAACAGAAGGUAGAAGGUGUCUCCGGCGAGUGGAUUUAGCGUAAUAAGAGAGGAUGCAAAUACAAGUUAGGUUAAUUUGUGAGAGGACGGAUGGACGUAAAAUACAAGUUGAAUGUAAAAUUUUCUAGUUCAGAUCUCCUUCCUUCCUUGCAGUGCACCACGACAUUACUAGCAUCAUAACAUGGCAUUCUCUGGGGAUCGAGGUCUCGCACAUGCUGAUGCGUGUACUCCAUUGCUACCUAGCUAUAUGAUUAUUGAUUUGUGGCAGUAUUCUCUUAUUAUAUAAUCCUCAC